GAUGAAGAACGUAGUGAAAUGCGAUACGUAAUGUGAAUUGCAGAAUUCAGUGAAUCAUCGAAUCUUUGAACGCACAUUGCGCCCUCCGGCAUUCCGGGGGGCAUGCCUGUCCGAGCGUCACGAAAACCCCAUCACACUCGUUGUGGUCAUGGCUGCAGUGAGUCGUCUCCAGCGGAGAGGGUCACGCCGCUGAAAGGAAUGGUGCGGAUGAGUUCCGAUGGCCGAACGUAGUACUUGACAACCGUCGGCCGAUGGGACCCUCCAUCUCGCCCUGACGACGUACCCCCGUCGUACCCCCGAUCAGGUGGACCUCGGAUCAGGUAGGGAUACCCGCUGAACUUAAGCAUAUCAAUAAGCGGAGGA
rnacentral:misc_RNA from 1 species